GACGAACGCUGGCGGCGUGCUUAACACAUGCAAGUCGAACGGAAAGGCCCUGCUUUUGUGGGGUGCUCGAGUGGCGAACGGGUGAGUAACACGUGAGUAACCUGCCCUUGACUUUGGGAUAACUUCAGGAAACUGGGGCUAAUACCGGAUAGGAGCUCCUGCUGCAUGGUGGGGGUUGGAAAGUCUCGGCGGUUGGGGAUGGACUCGCGGCUUAUCAGCUUGUUGGUGGGGUAGUGGCUUACCAAGGCUUUGACGGGUAGCCGGCCUGAGUGGGUGACCGGCCACAUUGGGACUGAGAUACGGCCCAGACUCCUACGGGAGGCAGCAGUGGGGAAUAUUGCACAAUGGGCGGAAGCCUGAUGCAGCAACGCCGCGUGCGGGAUGACGGCCUUCGGGUUGUAAACCGCUUUCGCCUGUGACGAAGCGUGAGUGACGGUAAUGGGUAAAGAAGCACCGGCUAACUACGUG
rnacentral:rRNA from 1 species